UAAAUGACAAUAUUAGUGCCAAAAGUACAAACAUAAAGCAAAAAAAAAAAAAAACCAAGUAAAUUGGUACUUUUGGCACAAAUGGUAAUAUUAGUGUCAAAAGUAUCAUUCGAUGAUUAAACCCUAAAUGGAGAAUCUAAACCCUAAAUAAAGAAUGUAAACUUUAAAUGGAGAAUCUAAACCUUGAAUGGGAAAUCUAAACCUUACGAGAAAGUGUUCAAAACGACCAUAUGAAUGCACUCAUCUAAAUAAGAUAAGAUAGUGUAUCAACACAAAUAUAUAACACUAUUGACUAGGGGUGGUAAAUCGGUUUCGGUUAUCCGGUUAUAACCGUAACCGAACCGAAAAAACCGGUUACCGGUUAAUCGAUAACCGAUUUUUUCCGGUUCGGUUCGGUUACCGGUUAUUGCUUUUGAUGUUAAC
rnacentral:lncRNA from 1 species